AGCAAACAGAGCAAACAUAGCUUUGUGUACAGUGUUUUGGCUACCAACAGUGUUGUUUAAGGUAGAGGGAAAAGUGACAUCAUUUGUGUACAGUCACAGUUCACAGACA